AUUUUUCAUGAGCAUUGCAGAAAAUAUAUUUGGAUCCAUUGGUUCGAUAUCACUGUCUGGCCCAUUAUCAUUUGUUUCUUUUCCUAAAGAUGGUAAUCAAUCUCAGACUCUUGAAGAGAAAGGAAUACAGGAAAACUGUGAUCUCUGCACAGAGAUGCAACCUCUGAUACCAAGUGAGAUGCAGACAUUUGAAAGUACAAGUUUAAAGCUGGAAGUCAACCAUAUUCAAGAGAAUAAAGAACAAUGUUUACCCACCAACAAGAGUGUAGAAAAGUUCAUGCAAUUUGAAAUGGUUGGUGAUUGCUCUGACCACCACUUUAUUGAAGAUGCAGGCAGGGGAUUGGCAUUCUCUCAGGUGAAAAGAAGUUGGUUGAAGAAGGUCCAAGAAGAAUGGAGUAACCUAGAGAAAAAUCUUCCUGAAUCAAUAUAUGUCCGUAUCUAUGAGGACAGAAUGAAUCUCCUUCGAGCAGCCAUUGUUGGUGCACCUGGAACUCCAUAUCAUGAUGGGCUAUUUUUCUUUGAUAUAUAUCUUCCUCCGGAGUAUCCUCAUGAACCCCCUUUGGUGCACUACCGUUCCGGUGGGCUUCGUGUCAAUCCAAAUUUAUAUGAGUCUGGAAAGGUCUGCCUGAGUCUCCUCAAUACAUGGACAGGCACAGGCACUGAAGUGUGGAAUCCAGAGAGCUCCAGUGUUCUGCAAGUUCUUCUCUCCCUCCAGGCCCUUGUGCUUAAUGAAAAGCCUUAUUUCAAUGAGGCUGGAUUUGAUAAGCAGAUAGGAAGAGCUGAGGGAGAGAAAAACUCUGUUAGCUAUAAUGAAAAUGCAUUCCUCAUGACCUGGAAGUCCAUGCUUUACUUACUUCGCCAGCCACCAAAGCAUUUUGAGGCACUCAUAGAGGAGCACUUGAGGCAACGAUCGCAAUAUAUUCUAUUGGCUUGUAAAGCAUAUAUGGAAGGAGCUCCAGUAGCAUACACAUUUGGACGUGGACAGAUUGAGCAUGAAAGUCAAAAGGGCGGUUCUACAGGUUUCAAAAUCAUGCUUGCUAAACUCUUCCCAAAACUUGUGGAGGCAUUUGCUGCUAAAGGAAUUGAUUGCAGCCAAUUCACAGAGCUAGAGCAGUGAAUGUGCUUACCAGUGCAUUUGUGCUAAUAAAUCUGUAUCAUAUCAACACGUUCUUGGAGAACAAUAGUCUUGCCUUUUUAAAAAAAUAAAAAAAUAAAAACAAAAGUGAAGAAAAAGAAAACAAAAGAUAUUGUUCUGUAUAAUAUCAGUGCUGUUUGUGUGAAAGACAAAAAAAUUAAAAAAAAAAAAAAAGAAAAAGAGAGCAAUUGAAAGGGAAAAUAAGGAUUUCUGGUGUUGUGAUUGUAGUAUUAUGUUCUGUGACAGAACUAUAUUAUGGAUUGCAGCUGCAAUUCUACAAAUAAUGAAGAAAAAGGG
rnacentral:misc_RNA from 1 species